rnacentral:snRNA from 1 species
CAGAAGAGUAAAAUUGUACUUU